UUGGUUCAAAAGUAUCUUCCGCUUUAGUGGUGGCAAUAAUUUUAUAAUAGAGAAAACACAGGGUAUGUAAACAUGUGAAAUAAACAUGUUAUUACUUGAUGUGUUUCAGGUAACUCCAAUCUUGGGUGUGCUUCUUAUCAUCUUGGGCUUUAUAUCUGUUGUUUGAACCUGUCUAGGGGCAAAUUGAAAAGAGUCAGGGUGAUAUUGUUGCAGACAAGGAUGUUAUCAUUCGUCGUUCAUUGUUGAAUGAUGCGAAACAUAUGUUACGCUGAUACAGACAGAGCCACAGCAUCGGCAGUCCUUAUAUUGUGGGUUUGGCAUUUCAUUUGCUUGCUCGCACACGUUUUGAUCGCCAGUUGCUAUUGGGGUUGAAUCGGGAAUUUUGUCUUGGGAAGUUCUCACGUCUGUUGUAUUGUGAUCUAAUAUAAUUGGAAAGAGCAAAAUAACGUAAAUGAAUUGUAUGCCGGGCAGAAACAGGUAUUGCAUUGAGUCAGGUGCACGCAACUGUUGUAACGAGCAUAAAUAUUCGCAUGCAAGCUGAAUAAGUCAAAUAAAACGAACCUAUUUUGGGUCUCUUUAUUAUUUUUUGAGCGACUUCAAUGGCCUGUAAAUUAGUCACAGAAAAAUUUG